rnacentral:rRNA from 1 species
GAUGAACGCUGGCGGCGUGCUUAACACAUGCAAGUCGAACGAAGCACUUAAUGAGAUUUCUUCGGAUUGAUUAUUUUGUGACUGAGUGGCGGACGGGUGAGUAACGCGUGGGUAACCUGCCCCAGACCGGGGGAUAACAGUCGGAAACGACUGCUAAUACCGCAUAAGCGCACAGUGCCGCAUGGCACAGUGUGAAAAACUCCGGUGGUCUGGGAUGGACCCGCGUCCGAUUAGUUAGUUGGCGGGGUAACGGCCCACCAAGACCGCGAUCGGUAGCCGACCUGAGAGGGUGACCGGCCACAUUGGGACUGAGACACGGCCCAGACUCCUACGGGAGGCAGCAGUGGGGAAUAUUGCACAAUGGAGGAAACUCUGAUGCAGCGACGCCGCGUGAGCGAAGAAGUAUUUCGGUAUGUAAAGCUCUGUCAGCAGGGAAGAUAAUGACGGUACCUGACCAAGAAGCCCCGGCUAACUACGUG